rnacentral:rRNA from 1 species
AUGAAGCAACCUCCUGGGUUUGUGAACAAAAAUGUUCCUUCUUACAUAUGCAAACUUGACAAUUCACUGUAUGGGUUGAAGCCAGCCCCACGAGCAUGGUAUUCACGUCUCAGUCACAAGAUGCAACAGUUUGGUUUUGUUCCUUCUAAGUCUGACACCUCACUGUUCAUUUACAACAAGCAUAACACACACGUAUUUGUACUCAUAUAUGUUGAUGAUAUAAUUGUCACAAGCUCAUCAGAUGAGGCUGUCACAGGGCUCUUGAAAGAUCUCAGCACAGAGUUUGCCCUCAAGGAUCUUGGAGACUUACAUUAUUUCCUAGGGAUUGAGGUGAAGAAACAUGAGGAUGGACUUCAUCUCUCUCAGGAGAAGUAUGCGGCAGAUCUAGUAAAGAAGGCAGGUCUACAAGGUAUCUCUCACAGAAGGACAGCUUUUGAGUCAAGAUGA